AAGGCCUGUAAAACAUUACAAUACAUCUCCUGACUGCAAUUCAGGUAUUUUAAUUAAACUAACGCCUCA
rnacentral:tRNA from 1 species